rnacentral:rRNA from 1 species
CGAUACGACCGUACCGCAAACCGACACUGGUGCGCGAGAUGAGUAUUCUAAGGCGCUUGAGAGAACUCAGGAGAAGGAACUCGGCAAAUUGACACCGUAACUUCGGAAGAAGGUGUGCCCUAUUAGUGUGUAGUGAACAACGAAGCAUGAAUGGGUUGCAAAAAAUCGGUGGCUGCGACUGUUUAUUAAAAACACAGCACUCUGCAAACACGAAAGUGGACGUAUAGGGUGUGACGCCUGCCCGGUGCUGGAAGAUUAAAUGAUGGGGUGCAAGCUCUUGAUUGAAGUCCCAGUAAACGGCGGCCGUAACAAUAACGGUCCUAAGGUAGCGAAAUUCCUUGUCGGGUAAGUUCCGACCUGCACGAAUGGCGUAACGAUGGCCACACUGUCUCCUCCUGAGACUCAGCGAAGUUGAAAUGUUUGUGAUGAUGCAAUCUCCCCGCGGAAAGACGGAAAGACCCCAUGAACCUUUACUGUAGCUUUGUAUUGGACUUUGAACAGAUCUGUGUAGGAUAGGUGGGAGGCUUUGAAGCAGGGUCGCUAGAUCUUGUGGAGCCAACGUUGAAAUACCACCCUGGUGUGUUUGAGGUUCUAACCUAGGUCCAUUAUCUGGAUCGGGGACAGUGCAUGGUAGGCAGUUUGACUGGGGCGGUCUCCUCCCAAAGCGUAACGGAGGAGUUCGAAGGUACGCUAGUUACGGUCGGACAUCGUGACGAUAGUGCAAUGGCAUAAGCGUGCUUAACUGCGAGACUGACAAGUCGAGCAGAUGCGAAAGCAGGACAUAGUGAUCCGGUGGUUCUGUAUGGAAGGGCCAUCGCUCAACGGAUAAAAGGUACUCUGGGGAUAACAGGCUGAUACCGCCCAAGAGUUCAUAUCGACGGCGGUGUUUGGCACCUCGAUGUCGGCUCAUCUCAUCCUGGGGCUGUAGCCGGUCCCAAGGGUAUGGCUGUUCGCCAUUUAAAGAGGUACGUGAGCUGGGUUUAAAACGUCGUGAGACAGUUUGGUCCCUAUCUUCCGUGGGCGCUGCAGAUUUGAGGAAGCCUGCUCCUAGUACGAGAGGACCGGAGUGGACACACCUCUGGUGUAUCGGUUGUCACGCCAGUGGCAUUGCCGAGUAGCUAAGUGUGGAAGAGAUAACCGCUGAAAGCAUCUAAGCGGGAAACUCGUUUCAAGAUGAGAUCUGCCGGGGCCUUGAGCCCCCUAAAGAGUCGUUCAAGACCAGGACGUUGAUAGGUCAGGUGUGGAAGUG